UUUAAUUAAAUUUAUAUUUUAUUUGAAUAAAUUAUUAAAUGUUAAAUCAUUAAAUUAAGAAAAUUUGGCGGUAUUUUUAAAAAUUAGAGGAAUUUGUAGUGUAAUUGAUGAUACACGAUAGGAAAUACUUAAAUUUAAAUUUAUGUAUUGCUGUUUAAUUUAUUUAUUAAGUAAAUUUUAAUUUUUUAGUUUAAAAAUUAAUUCAAGUCAAAAUGUAGUUUAUUUAAGAAUUUAUGAAUUACAUUUUUUUAUUAUAUUGGAAUAAAAUUUUUUAUAUUAUUAUGAAAGUGGAUUUAAUAGUAAUUUAAAUUAAUUGAUUUAUUUGAAUUUUUUUAAAAAUAAGU
rnacentral:rRNA from 1 species